rnacentral:tRNA from 4 species
AGCGGGGUGGAGAAGUAGUAUCUUGCGAGGCCCAUAACCUCGAGACGCUGGUGCAAUUCCAGCCCCCGCAACCA